UGAUCAGGCAAGCGGUUGUCUCUUCGGAGACAUCCGAUAAAAUUGGAACGAUACAGAGAAGAUUAGCAUGGCCCCUGCGCAAGGAUGACACGCACAAAUCGAGAAAUGGUCCAAAUUUUUUUUGUCAUUUGAUCUCUGGGCUCCGUGGUUCUUUGAUUUCUCUGUGUUUUUGUUUCAGGAAUGAUUUGUUUGCUCUGUGAUUACUUGGAUCUUUCUCCUUGUCUUUGUUUGAUUUGUUUAUGGCUUUCAAUCAGGAGUUUGUUUCUGAUAGGGUCUCCUUUCCUUUGCGUAGGGUGGUUUUCGAUCGGGUUUAUCCUUCUGAUUCGAACUCUCUUGUUUGGUUUGUUUGAUACGUUUCAGGUUCUCACACCCGAAGAAUAUGUAUGGAUUCCAGGAACUCGCUCGUUAAAUUAGUUGGUUUUUCAUGCAUAAAUCUAUAUCUUGUCCAAUUUAUUUUCUCUCUUGCCCUGUCGGUUCUAUCUCUUCUUCGUUUUCAUUUUUAUUUCGUUUGAUUUGAUUGUGUCUCUCAAUCAGGUUCUUCUUUCUGAACCGAUCUCCUUUUUCUUUUCCAUCCCUUUAUGUUCUCAUUAGGUUUUUCCCCUGUGUUGUUCUUAAUAGGUUUCUCGUUCCUAAUUCGAUCUCUUUUGGUUCUUUUGUUUGGUUUGUUUAGAUCAUUUUCAAGUUCUGAAACCCUAAGAACAUGGAUGGAAUCUCAAAUUUGCUGUUAGUUGUCUAUUUACGUUGCAUUUUUUGCCUAACAGAAUGAAGAAGCUCGUCGAUUGUGGUGGCUGACGCUUUACUCUUCCAACUUAUUUGGCUUCUGGAUAUCACCUCCAUUUUUUAGUCUUUCUUUGCUCAACCAUGGACUAUAAAUAUUCAACACAAGAUAGAACUCUACUCUAAACUAGCCAUCCCCUUUCGAAUCACACACCAUUGUGAUGAAUUCAGCAGUGAAAAUAAAAUAUAUAUACUGAUCAAAUUCUGGGUAGUAAUGCACACAGUUCCAUUUAUCAUGAAUGCGUCCAAUAUAUAUUUAAUACAUGAAACACAUCAAUUGAUUCUUGUUAUUUGCCUUGGCCACUUGCACUUUUUCAUUCUAAUAUUAGGUGUUUCGGUAUUCGGAUUUUCUAGCAUAUGGGCAUCAUUGUUUAAUUUUAACUAGAUACAACCCUUCAGCAGCUGAGCAGUACUCACUUUCGAUUUGUUAUAACCUAAUACUAAAGUGUGUUGAAUUUCCUGCUUGUCUCGCUGCAUAUUUUUUGGCAAAUGUGUUUUGAUCUUGUAGUUUACUUACUAUGAAGAGACUGGGAUUUCUCCCACAAUAACAUGCUGGCAUGCGACUUGAACUUGAGAUGAUGCCUUUCUAUUGCUGUUGCAAUUACAGCUUUUAAUAAAUUCAAUUAGAGAAGCAACCUGGAAUGGGUCUAGAAGUAAGUUCUGCACCAAGGGAAAUGCUGGAGAAGAGGAAUGGACCAAGGUUGAUGAUGUGUAAACUCCAUUAGUGACAGUAAACCAACUACUUGCUUUACAUAAGUUGCUUGGAAAAAUGCAACUAAAUAUAAAUGUUCUGAAGUUCAUUAUGAUUAUUAGCAGUAGGUACCAGUUUGACAGAAUUAUUGAAAAUCAUGUCUGGACUUUUCUUUGUACAGAAUGUUGAACCUGCUACGCUGCAUUGCUUGCAUCAGUUUUCUCUCUAAUUAUAGACACUGACCAUGUGGAUAAGUAUAUUUUCGUGUAUUUUACAUGCAGUGAAAGCAUAUAUAGGUGGCUUGCCUACUAAACCUUCUUGUUCACCAUGAAAACUGUUCUUGCAAUGUAACAAAGCAACAUUUGCUUUAGGUUAAGCUGUCAUUGUUUAUUUCCUGUGUUUAUCUAAUGGGACUGAAUGAAUACAGGUGGUUCUAAAUUAAGCUGUUCAUAAAUGUUCUUUCAUUAGUGCGUGAUGCAUUGUAAAGACAAUGAUUUUUAUUUGAAUAGCAAGAUUACUCGAUAACAUGUCCUCAUGUUCUUUCUGCUUUUGUAGCUGAGAAGAAAAAUAUAUUGGUCUUCACAGCCUGAUUCUAAGAUAUCAUUUAUUCUAUAUUUCAGAUUUACUUUUUUAUGUCUGAGAGAUUUUUGGUUUUGGUACUUUAUGACCGAGUCAUGGCUUUGCAACUGAUCUAUAAAAAUAUGAAUUGUGCAUUUUCAAAAAAGAAACUUAAUGGAGCAUGAUGUUUUGAAGUGUUAAUUUUUCUUGCCAGUUGAGUCCUAGGGUACAUUGGGGUAGCUGCCAUCCAUUCAUGAUCCUCGAUAGUGAAUAAUUUCCUUUACUAUCGGCAGAUUGUUCAUAGUUACCAAUAAGAUCACACUUGUUCUUUGCCUUUGUUUUGCCCAAUUAUUGUUGAGCAAACAAACCCCGGAAACAUGGAGUUGCUUCUCUUUGUCACUGACCUUAGGAAUUAUUCAGCAACAUGAACGACCCCAUAUCUAUUGCUUCACAUUCAUCCUCACCUGCGCUUCAUAUUAUAUAUCUAAUUUUGUGGAACUAAUUGGAUUCAUGUACUACAGUACAGAGUGCCUUACGAAGAUCCUCUCACCAAUGUGAAGUAAAUGAGAAACAAGUAGAAAUUUGGAAGGCGAUGCCAUUAUGAUCCCUUGUAAUAAUUCUCAUAUAGUUAUGGAAUAACCACAUUGGUAUUAAUUUCAAAGAAUCCAUAUACUCGAGAUGCCCAUCUCAUUUGUGUGUUUGAUAGUGAUGGAGUUUUGUGUCCUGCAGAGGACAAAAUAAAUGGAUGAAAUAGCUAAUGAGAAAAGAUGGAGUUAUUCACCAAAUAACCCAAGCAUUUGAAGUAGUAAAGCCUAUCGUGUUAGAUAUCUGUCUAAAUAGAUACUUGGAGUUCAUCUAUUAGUUCUUCAACUGGCAUUUUCAUUAACAAGAGGACUUGUGUCCCAUAUAUGCUCUCUCAUCCUGUUACUCCUCCAACACGAUUCUAUUAAAGAAUACGAAAUUCUUUGUGGACCGUGGAGGUGUUUGAAUGAAUGUUUAGAAAAAAGGGUGUAAUACAAGCUUGGUACAGUUCAUAUGACAUCUUUUACAUUAGCGUAUAGUGUUAGUAACACUAAAACAUUAUGGGUAAUUAAUAUGAAUAAUAUUCUUUUCUAAAGGAACAAUGCUAAAGUUGUGUUAUGUGAAAAUUUUAAAAAUUGGGCAAAUAUUGUGCUUCCCUAUUAUCUAGGUCAAUCACAAGGACAAAUAAAUGGGCAGGUUGGAAUCUAGAACUACAUUUCCUACUGUUAAUGGAGGAACAGAAUAUUAGAAUAAUAGACGCGAGGAAUAUUAGAUUUUGGGUAUUAACUUUCACUUGGCACAUCACUGGGCCAGACCUAAGAGACAUGCAAAGGCCGGUCACAAGUCAGGCGGGGCUAAACCAGGGUUUAAAGAUGGUGGCGGCCAGGAAAAUAAUCCCACUCACGAUCUAUUUGAUAACUUGCUCUACAUAGGAGUCGACAAGAUAUCGAAAUGUUUUCUUGGAAACAUCCAAUUAAAUUGAAACGAUAUAGAAAAUAUUUGCAUGGCUCCUGUUUGACACAAAUAUUUAGUUUCCCGCAUUUGAUCUUUCCUUGUUUUUGUUGUUUGAUUGUCACUCAGGUGUUUCCUUCUCUUGUUUUCUCUUUCUGGGUUGAUUUAUUUCUCUUCUUAUUUUGUUUGAUUUUGUUUGUAAUAUUUCUUUAUGAUCUGAUAUUUUUCUUUUGGUUUAAUUCGGUUGUGGUUCUCAAUCAGGCUCUUCUUUCUGAAUUGAUCCUCGUUUCAUCUUCUUUUUCUUUGGUUCUUAACAUGGACCUUUUCCCCUCUGUGGUUCUCAAAUCAUGGUUUUGGUUUGUUAUGAUCAUUUGCUGGUUCUGAAACCUUAAGAACAUGGAUGAAGCCCUGAAUUAUCUUGCUACUAUAUAUUAGUUAUCGUUGCAUGUAAAUGCACACAUGUAAAUGUACACAUGGAUGAAGAAGGUCGUCAGUUGUGGUGUUAGUUGCCAAUUGCACUAGUCUUUUCGUUCUAGCAUUAAAAAAAGGAAAGAGGAUCAAAGAGUGUGAUAUGGCCUUUGUAGAAGAGGGAAAAGGGUGAAGAUUUAAGAAGACAGUGAUGUUGGACAUCCCUUCUCGAAGCCUUGUUUGUCUAUAUAGACAAGAAGAAUUCAGAGGUUGCAACUGAGAAAGAACCGAAAUAAGAUUCUAGAUUCUUGUGAACUAGAAACAUCUUAAAUAGUUGGUCGUCGAUUUUUAGGGAAGGAGCACAUGGAUGGAGUUUGGCUUCAACAGUUGUCCUUCUAUUAGCAAUAAAUAUUCUGUCAGAAGUAAUGCCAUUCAUGAAUUACUUGUUCUUCUGUCUUUUUUCUAACGUGGUACUAUAGUCACAACCUGUUUGGUUGCAUUCUUCAAAGGUAACUUUUUAGCUCUAGCAUUUCAUUUAUCAGGGAAACGGACAAAUAAAAAAUGGAUAGUUGAUGCAAGACGAGAUGAUUAGAUGAACGUAGAAACACAACUUGUACAGGGGUAACUUGAUCAUUUUCAGUUGAGCCCAAGUCCAAUUUGUAAACGGAUACAAAAUCUGCAAGUCUAAUUGGAAUCAGCUUGACAUCAGAUAUAUUCACAGAGACGAGUUUAGUUAUCUUACACAUUAAUGCAGUCACUUGUAGCAGGUUAUAUUAAGCCAAGGUAUUGUCAUGUUUGAGAAUGUUUUUGGUUGAUUUAAUCAAGUCAAGUCCUUUUUUUUUUUUUUUUCAUUUUUUACUAAUAUGUGGAAUGGUAAUUGGAUUAGAUUAGGUUUAGUUUUGUUAGUUGAAAUGUUUAGGUUUCUAAAAUUUGGAAAUUUAUUUGGAGUUGCUUGGUAAUUGGCAACUAUAUCUUCUCUGAGUACUUUCAAGCUUUACUUGUUUUUUAAUUUUUUUUUUUUGACUUCUAUACUAAUUUCAAGCAAAGUCUAUCGUACCGAAGUGUACCGCUCGUAUCGGGCGGUAUGUAUCGGUCCGACAGGUUAUCGGUACACGGACCAUCCGGUACCGUUACAAUGCUACAGUGUUAUACUGUAGCACUGCUACAGUAUUAAAAAUAAAAAAAAUAUUCGGUAUACCAUGGUGUACUGCUCGGUAUGCCCUGAUGUACCGCUCGGUACAUCGGUACCGUACCAUACCGAGCCCGGGUCGAAACGUUGGUACGGUACGGUACAGCGAACCUUGAUUUCAAGUUCAUACUCCCAUGUUUUUCACUUGUGCAUAAAACUCUGAUGAUAUCAUGUGGUUUGUUCUGGGCUUAUGAGAAGUUUGUCAGUAAAAAGAUAUAUGAGUUGAUACUGUUGAUGAGGUCUUCCUCUAAAGAAUGAGCUCUUGGUAUAUGUUGAAAUAUACAUACCUUUUCAUAAGUGAGUUUUCGAAAGAUGGCUGUUUAAUCUAGUAUUCGUUGUAAAUUUUCAUUCUUUUGUGAUAGUAAUACUAACCCAUUUAUUUAUGUUUUGCCAAUUUUCUUAUGUGUGUUUCAAAUGAAUUCAGGUUAGUGCUGUUGCGAACAUGGAAGCAAAGAAAAGUUCUUCUCAUACUGUAUUAAAGCAGUAAUGGUUGCCCACAUGAGAUUCUCUGAGCAAGAGCUGUCUGUCACUGAAACUGAAGAUUACAGCCAAUAACCCCUCUCACAGGUGAGAUUAUUCCACCAACUCUUAAAGAUCUCUUAAAGGUUGGGUUCUAAAGAAAUGAAAAGCAAAUUUAACUUGUGUUAAGUUCCCAGAGCUGUAGUCUCUUAUGAAGCACAGAGGCAGAGAUGAGACUGGUACAGGGGAUAUUGAUGGUGACAUUUACUGCCCCCACCUCAAAUGCAAGAGAGAUUAUUGUCAGAGUCAUUAUAUGUUUAUCUUUUGCAACCACCUGAUGAACUCCAUCAACCCUUUUCCUAUCCUACAUCCUCAUCUCUCCACCAUCUCCACCCUACUCCUUCCAGCCAUGCAUUAAACAGCCUUAACAUCAUCCAUCCAACUCCUUUAAAUCCCUCUUUAUGAGAGAGAAGGAAUCCGAGGUUUCUCAUCGACUGGGAGCUGAACUCCUCCUUCUCACCUCACCCCUUCCAACCCGGCAGUGGAGCUUGAUGGCUUGCAGCUGCCACAAGCCUCGUUACCAGAGGCUAAAUAAGCUUCCUCCAGAGACAGAAGAGGAUGAAAUCAGUGGCGGAUCCAAAGAGAUGGCGGUGGUGUUCAAGAGGAGGCGGCACGGCUGGCUGAGGCUGAACAGAAGUGGGAGGUGGCGAAAGCCGAGGGUCCGGGUGGCCGGGCUGAGGAAGUUCCUGAGUAAGGCCACCGUAGUGGGGGCUGCAGUGAGGGUGUCAGUGGCCAAGGUGCUCAAGAGAUUGAAGGAGGGAAGGCCUUAUCUGGGGGAACUCUUUGCAGGUAACUACAUGUUCAUGCAAGUGAGCCCUUCACCAACAAUUCCGUACGUGGAGAAGCCAUUCUCGCUCGCUGAGCACCGGCACCGGCACCGACAUCACCCACCGCCAUCACAUUUGAUGCUCUAAACGUUUGCUUCUAGUCUUUCUUCUAACCAGAGGUAUAAUAAAGGUCUUGUCUCAGUGCUGCUGCUCUGUUGCUUUUGUAUAAUAAUGAUGGGCUUGUC